rnacentral:rRNA from 1 species
UACGUAGGGUGCAAGCGUUGUCCGGAAUUAUUGGGCGUAAAGAGCUCGUAGGCGGCUUGUCGCGUCGGCUGUGAAAACCUGGGGCUCAACCCCGGGCCUGCAGCCGAUACGGGCAAGCUAGAAUUCGGUAGGGGAGACUGGAAUUCUUGGUGUAGCGGUGAAAUGCGUAGAUAUCAAGAGGAACACCUGAGGUGAAGACGGGUUGCUGGGCUGACACUGACGCUGAGGCGCGAAAGCCAGGGGAGCAAACGGG